rnacentral:rRNA from 1 species
UACGGAGGAUGCGAGCGUUAUCCGGAUUUAUUGGGUUUAAAGGGUGCGCAGGCGGCCUGUUAAGUCAGCGGUAAAAGCCCGGGGCUCAACCCCGGCGAGCCGUCGGAACUGGCAGUCUUGAGUGGGCGAGAAGUAUGCGGAAUGCGUGGUGUAGCGGUGAAAUGCAUAGAUAUCACGCAGAACCCCGAUUGCGAAGGCAGCGUGCCGUGCCGCCACUGACGCUGAGGCACGAAAGCGCGGGGAUCGAACAGG